CCUACGGGGGGCUGCAGUAGGGAAUAUUGGACAAUGGGCGGAAGCCUGAUCCAGCCAUGCCGCGUGCAGGAAGAAGGCGUUAUGCGUUGUAAACUGCUUUUGACAGAGAACAAAAAGCCCAUGCGUGGGAAAUUGAGUGUAUCUGUAGAAUAAGCCACGGCUAACUACGUGCCAGCAGCCGCGGUAAUACGUAGGUGGCGAGCGUUAUCCGGAUUUAUUGGGUUUAAAGGGAGCGUAGGCGGUUUUGUAAGUCAGUGGUGAAAGUCAGUCGCUUA
rnacentral:rRNA from 1 species